AGAAUGAGUGAAUGACUCAUAAUCAUCCCUUCCACAACACAAACCCAACCGUUCCAUUUCCAUCUCACUUUCUCUCUCUAGACUCUAGCAACCAUGGUUUCAACUCCUUCAUGGCUUCAUCCUCUACCUCUCUUCAGGUCCCCUCUCCUCCUCACAUUUCAGUCUUGUGAAAAUCAACUCAAACAUUAGAGCAAUCUUGUUGCCGAAUUGCUGCAUCGUAAUCGUUACUAGUCACACACCGGUUCCUCUCUCUCCUCCGCCCAACAGUCAUAGCCUUUCGCCACCUCUUCGUUCCUUCCCAAAUCAUUUCCACCGCUAAAAUUAGCAUGGAGAGAUGAAAAGUGAAUUCCAAGGCUAACAGUUAAGGAGUUUGUUGAUCAGAGGAGAUUAAAACAGGCUCGAUUUGGUAGACAAUAUUAGUAAGUUUUCUAAAUAAACUUAUUCAUCAGAAAAUGUGGAUGAGGUUAGAGACAUGUGGGUCGAGUAUUUGCUCAAACAAAAAGCGGAUCAAGAAAACAAAGUUGAUGGUAUGGAAAUAAGUCCAUGAGUUUCGGUUCCAAUUGUUGGUAAAUUGGUGUGAAUGAUUAUAUUUUGGAAUUGAUUUUUGUUUUACGUUUUUGGAAAUUGCGAUGUAAAGUUUGGCGCUUAUGCAAAUCACAGUUUAUGUAAAGCUUGCGUUUUGAGCAUUACUUGUUGGAAAUAUUUGUUUGGUAAUAUAUGGAUUAUGGAGUUGUUCUCGAA